rnacentral:rRNA from 1 species
GACGAACGCUGGCGGCGUGCUUAACACAUGCAAGUCGAACGGAAAGGCCCUGCUUUUGUGGGGUGCUCGAGUGCCGAACGGGGGAGUAACACGUGAGUAACCUCCCCUUAACUUUGGGAUAACUUCAGGAAACUGGGGCUAUUACCGGAGAGGAGCUCCUGCUGCAUGUGGGGGGUUGGAAAGUUUCGGCGGUUGGGGAUGGACUCGCGGCUUAUCAGCUGGUUUGUGGGGUAGUGGCUUACCAAGGCUUUGACGGGUAGCCGGCCUGAGAGGGUGACCGGCCACCAUGGGACUGAGAGACGGACCAGAAUCGUACGGGAGGCAGUAGUGGGGAGCAUGGCAGAAUGGCGGGAAGCGUGAUGCAGAAACGCCGCGUGCGGAAUGAUGGGCUUCGGGUGGUAAACAGAUUUCGAAUGUGACGAAGAGGGAGUGACGGUAAUGGGUAAAGAAGCAACGGCUAACUACGUG